rnacentral:misc_RNA from 1 species
UAUUCAAUGCAUGUAUAUGGUAUUAUUCAAGGAUUUCAUAAGAUGAGAGAGCUGCCUCUUAAUUUUUCUGAUGUUUUCAAUAAUAGUUUCAUGUUCGAACUAAUGGAUCGAUGGCAAUUGCAAAUCAGAAGAGGAAGGAGGAUCAUUAUUGCACUUGCUGUGUCUCAACACGCUGGUCAUUCUUGCAAUUGUCAUUUGUGUGAGAAGAAAUUACCUGCAACUCCAACUUUUCUACUUCAUGAGAGGUUUCCAAUGGAACAAGUUGAGCGAUCGUCUUCGUUUCUAUGUUUUUGCCCCACAGCACUGCAUACAAGCCACUUACUAUCAAUGCUGCUCCUAGUAUGCUUCCAAGAUAUAGAUUUUCAUUGAUGAGUAGGGAUCCCGAAAAUGCAGUAAAUAUAAGUAAUAAAGGACUAAAAACCGACACAAAUAGAGGACCCCUCAAGUGGACGCACCAUAUCGUAAGAGCAUUCAUCGUGCCAGCAGCAAGUAUCCCCGUAUAUGCUGCUGUGAACAACCUUAUAUUCCAACCUAGUUUCCAUGCACUCCAAUCUUUCUCCAUGAAAAGGGCAUAAACAGUAGAUUGGAUUGAUGCCAUCAAUGCCAUUAAUGCAGAGCUUGAAUAGGGUAAUGGAUACCUUCUACUCAUUUGAGCCUGAAUGAUUAACCACAAGGCAAAUGAAGAGCAACUGGCCAGAGCUAAUGCACAACCUAAGGCUCGACUAGCAGGAGAUAAUGAUGAAGCUAUCUGGCUUCCUUGGGGCUGAUAAUGCUUCAUAAGAUCAAUGUGUGUUCUGAAGAUAUUGAUUUCUGAUCCCCUGUAAAAAGUGAGAAGCAUGGCUCCG